ACUCCUACGGGAGGCAGCAGUAGGGAAUCUUCCACAAUGGGCGCAAGCCUGAUGGAGCAACACCGCGUGAGUGAAGUAAGGGUUUCGGCUCGUAAAGCUCUGUUAGUUAAAGAAGAACACGUAUGAGAGUAACUGUUCAUACGUUGACGGUAUUUAACCAGAAAGUCACGGCUAACUACGUGCCAGCAGCCGCGGUAAUACGUAGGUGGCAAGCGUUAUCCGGUAUUUAUUGGGCGUAAAGAGAGUGCAGGUCGGUUUUCUAAGUCUGAUGUGAAAGCCUUCGGCUUAACCGGAGAAGUGCAUCGGAAACUGGAUAACUUGAGUGCAGAAGAGGUAGUGGAACUCCAUGUGUAGCGGUGGAAUGCGUAGAUAUAUGGAAGAACACCAGU
rnacentral:rRNA from 1 species